rnacentral:rRNA from 1 species
CCUACGGGAGGCAGCAGUGGGGAAUAUUGGACAAUGGGGGGAACCCUGAUCCAGCCAUGCCGCGUGUGUGAAGAAGGCCCUCGGGUUGUAAAGCACUUUCAGUGAGGAAGAACGCCUGGUGGUUAAUACCCAUCAGGAAAGACAUCACUCACAGAAGAAGCACCGGCUAACUCCGUGCCAGCAGCCGCGGUAAUACGGAGGGUGUGAGCGUUAAUCGGAAUUACUGGGCGUAAAGCGCGCGUAGGUGGCUUGAUAAGCCGGUUGUGAAAGCCCCGGGCUCAACCUGGGAACGGCAUCCGGAACUGUCAAGCUAGAGUGCAGGAGAGGAAGGUAGAAUUCCCGGUGUAGCGGUGAAAUGCGUAGAGAUCGGGAGGAAUACCAGUGGCGAAGGCGGCCUUAUGGACUGACACUGACACUGAGGUGCGAAAGCGUGGGUAGCAAACAGGAUCAGAUACCCCAGUAGUA